GUUCCAGUUGAAUCAGGACAUGCUGAAGAGUACAGGACAAGCAAGGUGGGAUCAGUGUCUGAGGCGAAGCCCCCCAGUGUAAGCAGCAAUGGAAAGGAAGCCGCUGGGGGGUGUUUCGCGGCUGGAAGCAGCGCUGGUGGCAGACUGCCUGCGUGGGGACCCCGAGGGACACUCACUGCAGGACACACUCGGGCAGCUGCACGUGCUCCAUGGGGAUGAGUCGCUCCAGCUCCUCCAGGCUGUGCACGUACUGGAUCUUACUGAUGAACUUGACACUGGCGGACACAGGAGGGCAGACAAGGGGUCACCAGGCAGAGCCGGGCCGGGCCCUGCCCAACCCGCCAAGUCGCCCAUGCUGGCCUGGAACCCUCCUGCCUCAGCACGACUGUGAUGAACAACGAACACCUCAGAUGUGUUCUUUUUAGAAUCAUUUUGUCACGUUUCUUUACUGCGCAUGAGCGAGCAAAACAAGGGGACACCUUGAGGGCGUCGGCUCCCUCCGUCCCACAGGUGGUCGUGGGGAUUAAACUUAGGCUGUCAGGGCCUGGCAGCAAGCUCCUGUACUAAUAGAGCCACAUCUCGCCAGCCCUUCAAGCGUAUUCUUAAAAAUAAAAAGUAGAAUUCUC